GUUUGAUUAUGGCUCAGAUUGAACGCUGGCGGGAUGUUUUACACAUGCAAGUCGAACGGCAGCACGGACUCUGGUCUGGUGGCGAGUGGCGAACGGGUGAGUACGUAUCGGAACGUGCCUAGUAGCGGGGGAUAACUACACGAAAGCGUAGCUAAUACCGCACACAGCCUUCUGGGAAAGCGGGGACUCGGGCCUCGCACUAUUAGAGUGGGCCGAUAUCGGAUUAGCUAGUUGGUGGGGCAAUGGCUCACUAAGGCGACGAUCCGUAGCUGGUUUGAGAGGACGACCAAGGCCACAUCUGGGACUGGAGAGUUUACCAGACUCCAUGGGAGGCAGCAAGGGGGAAUUUUGACAAUGGGGGAAACCCUGAUCCAGCCAUCCCGCCGUGUGCGAUGAAGGCUCUCGGGUUGUAAUUUUUGGCAGGAAAAGAAACGGCACGUGGAUAAUACCUCUCGUGCAGCUACACGGUACCCGCAGCAAUGUAAGCACCGGCUAACUACGCCAGCAGCCGCGGUAAUACGUAGGGUAAGCGUUAAUCGGAAUUACUGCUAAAGCGUGCGCAGGCGGUUUGGAAAGAAAGAUGAAAUCCCAGAGCUUAACUUUGGAACUGCAUUUUUAACUACCGAGCUAGAGUGUGUCAGAGGGAGGUAAACGUAGCAGUGAAAUGCGUAGAUAUGCGAGGAACACCGAUGGCGAAGGCAGCCUCCCGGAUAACACUGACGCUCAUGCAUGAAAGCGUGGGGAGCAAACAGGAUUAGAUAAUUCUGGUGUUCACACGCCCUAAACGAUGUCAACUAGCUGUUGGGGCCUUCUGGCCUGGUAGCGCAGCUAACGCGUGAAGUUGGACCGCCUGGGGAGUACGGUCGCAAGAGAUUAAAACUCAAAGGAACGGAUUUCGGGGACUCCGCACAAGCGGUGGAUGAUGUGGAUUUAACUGGAUGCAACGCGAAAACCUUACCUACCCUUGACAUGUCUGGAAUCCCGAAGAGAUUUGGGAGUGCUCGCAAGAGAACCGGAACACAGGUGUUACAGUUAAAGCCGUCAGCUCGUGUCGAGAUGUUGGGUUAAGUCCCGCAACGAGCGCAACCCUUGUCAUUAUUGCUACGAAAGGCACUCUAAUGAGACUGCCGGUGACAAACCGGAGGAAAGGUGGGAUGACGUCAAGUCCUCAUGGCCCUGCGGGUAGGGGCUUGCCACGUCAUACAAUGGUCGGGACAGAGAGGGUCGCCAACCCGCGAGACAACCCGAAACCUCGAUCGUAGUCCGGAUCGCAGUCUGCAACUCGACUGUGUGAAGUCGGAAUCGCGUAGUAAUCGCGGAUCAGCAUGUCGCAGAAUACGUUCCCGGUCUUGUACACACCCCGCCUGUCACACCAUGGGGAGGAGCUACCAGAAGUAGUUACUUCAACUGUAAGGAGGGCGAUUACCAUUGUAGGAUUCAUGACUGGGGUGAAGUCGUAAUAAAGGUA
rnacentral:rRNA from 1 species